rnacentral:snRNA from 1 species
GAAUGUGAGGGUGAUCUGGCUGUGACAACUGUUCACCAUUGAUCACUAGGGUUGAUUUGGCUGAUCCGAUUGGCUAAGUGGGUGUCUCUUCCUCCCCCACCGCUCCGUGUUCAUCCCUUCCAAUGUGACCAUCCUCCAUAGAGGACCACCAGUCUUCUGUCAAGGGCAUAUGAAUAGCUUUUAUCCCCCUGCUAGAACUUCCAAACAAGCUCUCAAGGUCAUGAGAGAAUGGGGCAGAUCUUGUCCAGUAUAGUUGCAGAAAGGUGACAAAUAUGGUGGUAGCACUGUAAAU